UACGUAGGGGGCAAGCGUUGUCCGGAUUUAUUGGGCGUAAAGAGCGUGUAGGCGGCCAGACAGGUCCGUUGUGAAAACUCGAGGCUCAACCUCGAGAUGUCGAUGGAAACCGUCUGGCUAGAGUCCGGAAGAGGAGUGUGGAAUUCCUGGUGUAGCGGUGAAAUGCGCAGAUAUCAGGAGAACACCUAUGGCGAAGGCAGCACUCUGGGACGGUACUGACGCUGAGACGCGAAAGCGUGGGGAGCGAACAGG
rnacentral:rRNA from 1 species